UUCCCUUGAGGAUAGUCCAGGUUCUAAUGGAAGUUGGUGACCCCUCCAACUUACCAACAACAGAGGUCUGAUGUGCCUCUAUUGCAGUUGUUCACUUCUGUUCUAUCUUCCGGAGCUCAGCAAAAGGGCCUUUAUGACCUCCUGUGCCUCUGCAAUGUGGAUCCAGAUUCAAGUACCGUCACAGCCAUGAGGCCUGAGCACAGGGGAGGGGGGAAUGCUGCAGAGGCACCCACAUGGCUGGACAGUUCCCACUGGUCUGCUCCAAUGAAGGCAUGGGAUGAUCGAGGCAUGUUGUAGGAACCAGCCCACGAGAUCGAACCUGACUAAGGGUUGACGAGGAUGAAAAGUGGAGACAGAAUCAGGUGAAAAUCUGGAGGGCUGAGGGGUUCCCAUCUCCCUUCCACAAAGAGCCCCGAGGGACUGGAGCACCUUGGCUUUAUUCAUUCACACAC
rnacentral:lncRNA from 1 species